rnacentral:rRNA from 1 species
GAUGAACGCUGGCGGCGUGCCUAAUACAUGCAAGUCGAGCGAACUGAUUAGAAGCUUGCUUCUAUGACGUUAGCGGCGGACGGGUGAGUAACACGUGGGCAACCUGCCUGUAAGACUGGGAUAACUUCGGGAAACCGAAGCUAAUACCGGAUAGGAUCCUCUCCUUCAUGGGAGAUGAUUGAAAGAUGGUUUCGGCUAUCACUUACAGAUGGACCCGCGGUGCAUUAGCUAGUUGGUGAGGUAACGGCUCACCAAGGCAACGAGGCAUAGCCGACCUGAAAGGGUGAUCGGCCACACUGGGACUGAGACACGGCCCAGACUCCUACGGGAGGCAGCAGUAGGGAAUCUUCCGCAAUGGACGAAAGUCUGACGGAGCAACGCCGCGUGAGUGAUGAAGGCUUUCGGGUCGUAAAACUCUGUUGUUAGGGAAGAACAAGUACGAGAGUAACUGCUCGUACCUUGACGGUACCUAACCAGAAAGCCACGGCUAACUACGUGCCAGCCGCCGCUGUAAAAC